GAUGAACGCUGGCGGCAUGCCUAAGACAUGCAAGUCGAACGAAGUGGCCCAAAGAGUAUGGAGUACUUGUACAAAAUAUAAUUUGGAUUUUCCACUUAGUGGCAGACGGGUGAGUAACACGUAAGUAACCUACCUCAAAGACUGGGAUAACGUUUGGAAACGAACGCUAAUACCGGAUAAUCCAUAUUUAGAAAACUAGAUAUGUUAAAAGGAGCGUAUGCUUCACUUUGAGAUGGGCUUGCGGCGUAUUAACUAGUUGGUGGGGUAAUGGCCUACCAAGGUGACGAUGCGUAGCCGGGCUGAGAGGCUAAUCGGCCACAUUGGGACUGAGACACGGCCCAAACUCC
rnacentral:rRNA from 1 species